ensembl:lncRNA
CUCAUUAGGGGUCAUAUGACUUCCUGGACUUAACCUUUCUGGUUGAUAUACCUGUAGAAGCCUUUGGUGUUCUUCUUUGCAUCCCUUGCCAAGUCCAGUUCCAGUUGGGCCUUGGUCUUCCUGACCCCACCGCUAUACCGUAUCAGCAGUCUCUAUACUCUACCCAAAGAGUUACCUCCAGAGCGCAAUUCAUCUGAUCUGUCUUUGUUGCAUAUCUUCAGUUGAGACCCAGAGGCUAUGUCUACAGAGCACAACAAAGCAUGUCACCACUACUCAGCUGGCUUGAAGGCCAGGUGGGACCAGCUGCUUACCUCAAACUUAGUGAGGACUAAUUUCCUGGAGAUAUGCCUUGGAGAUGACUAGAUGGAGCAGACUGAAACAAAGCCGGGGAAUGAGAUACCAAUCAAGCAAGAUGGAUCAUGCUGGGUGUAGUGUCUGAACUCCAGUAUAGCAGGGGUGACUGAGCUCUAUCCUGACCUUCCAGCACAUCCUGUGGAAGUGAGAUGGCACGAAUAUACAUAACAUUGUUACCUGUACCCUUUAGAAGAAGGCUCAGGAACAGCUUAGUCCACAAAGUCUCACCACUUGCCAGAGGAACAGAUCAAGGUUUGAAUCAUAUACUUUCAUUUUGUGUUGCAUGAUAGAAGAGCGAAGAGAAAAGAAAGAACAUAGCUAAGUGCUGCACCUGAGGCACUAACCAGCAACCAGAGCAAAUCCAGCAAGGAAGUCUGGAGUGUAUCAGGUGCAAGAAGAAACAAAAUUGUUGAAGUGCUACUGAAAGGGGGAUUCUGUGCAUCAGUGGCAAUUGCAAACAGCUGCAGUAAUGUCCAUCACCUGCAUGAAGAGAAAGCAGACGAAACCAUUUAAUCUAGGACAGGAUAGAGGAGGUAACUGCACUCACUGCUUUGGACUGCUGCUCAGAAAACUUUGCUUCUUCCAAGCUAGUAACUGUGUAGACAUCCUAGUACAUAGCUUUUAAGUAAGACUGUCAGACUACAGCCUUAAACCCUACUUUAUUCCUUUGUAUGUAAAGUGCUGGACCUUUCACAGGACACACGGCAAAGUCACAAAGAGUGUUCACAAGGAGUUCUGCAGAAGCUGACACCAACAUAGGAGUUCCUGUACCCAGCCAUUAGCAGGAGUGGUGCUGAGAGGUCUUUGGAGGGGCCUUACGAUUAGGGAUCUCAUGAUUGUCAAGUAUCCUGCCCAGAGCUGGCUUGAAAUGAUCCCAUUGCAUUAAUCUAUCCAGGUCACCUUUUUGAUGGAUGGUUUGUUUACCCAAGCACUCUUUCUUUUAGAGUUACUUUUCAAUCAAAACAGGGAAGCACCUGAGUUGUCAUCUCAGAACCUAUGCUAUACUUGCACUUUCUUCACUUGAGUGCAGAUUUCAAAGAUGCUCCAGCCACUACAGGGCAUUCAAAGAUUUUUGCCCUGUGACAGAGAACGUUGUGUUGGUCAUACCUCUUACAGAUGUUAUUAAUUACUGUCUGUGACAGGAAAAUAUUUUUCUUCAUGCAAAAAUCUCAUAAAUAUGACGUGGUGAGUCUUCUAAACAUUUUUAUCCUGCCUUCAGGCGUUACCUUUCUACAGUGCUUUGUCAAGUAUGAGGUGUACUGUCAUGACACAGAACACUGUCUGACCAACAGUAAAAAUAAACUGCUGUACAUAGUACCUCUGUCCUGCAGAGUUGCUUGAAGCACUGCAUGGUUUAAUAUAAACAUCAUAAAAUAUAUAAACAUGUUCUGAUUAAAACCUACCACUUAAAAUUCAAACAAAUAGUAAUAAAGUGAGGGUGAAAAAAAGGCUUUAUGAGAUAAGUAAACCCAAAGUCACUGUUGUUUAGGAUUAAAAUAUUCAACUUCAUUUAAGUGAUGUUAGAUCAAUUGCUUUAAAUGUGAACCUUAGGUCUGGCAUCUGUACACAGGUUGGAAAAGAUUUUUUAACAAAUAGUUUAACCACUCUCAAAUUAGCCUUAUCUCUAAAACAGUACUCUGUAUGCCUGCUAAAAGAAGAAUUUGGCUUCCACAAAUCAGCUAAGAAGCUAAUAUAACCAUCCAUCUUGUUUUCUGGAAAAGUUCUGUGAAAUUAUAUCCUUGCUCUGUAGAUACUACUGGCAAUACUAAUUAAAUGUGCU